GGGGGUGUAGCUCAGUUGGUAGAGCGCUUGCCUUGCACGCAUGAAGUCAGGAGUUCGAGUCUCCUCACCUCCA
rnacentral:tRNA from 1 species